rnacentral:rRNA from 1 species
CCUACGGGUGGCAGCAGUAGGGAAUAUUGCACAAUGGGGGAAACCCUGAAGCAGCAACGCCGCGUGGAGGAUGAAGGUUUUCGGAUUGUAAACUCCUUUUGUUAGAGACGAUAAUGACGGUAUCUAACGAAUAAGCACCGGCUAACUCCGUGCCAGCAGCCGCGGUCAUACGGAGGGUGCAAGCGUUACUCGGAAUCACUGGGCGUAAAGUGCGCGUAGGCGGGAUAGCAAGUCAGAUGUGAAAUCCUAUGGCUUAACCAUAGAACUGCAUUUGAAACUGUUAUUCUAGAGUAUGGGAGAGGUAGGUGGAAUUCUUGGUGUAGGGGUAAAAUCCGUAGAGAUAAAGAGGAAUACUCAUUGCGAAGGCGACCUGCUAGAACAUAACUGACGCUGAUGCGCGAAAGCGUGGGGAGCAAACAGGAUUAGAUACCCCUGUAGUC